UACAGCCAAUCUUUGAGCUGUUUACUGCCAAUGCCUUAGAUUUUGGUUUUCUGAUCAAAGCAAAACUAGUGAAAUGCUGGUGAUUGGAGCCUCUGACUCCUCAUUGGUCCUCCUGGCUUUCUCAUUGGUCCUCCUGGCUUAUCACAUAUUCAUGGCAUCCUCAAAAAGAAACAGUUGAGAGUUUCAUAAUUCACUCCAACCGUUUGUCUCUUGCUAUGUGCUCUCAAACAUUUGUGACCUAUUUCUAGGGACCUGGAAACUUGUCUCCAGUGAAAACUUUGAGGUUUAUAUAAAAGCACUGGGGGUCCAAACCAACAUCAGGUCCUACAGAAGAAUUGCAGCACCACCGUUAUCAGAAUAAACUCAGCCCAUUCUAUAUAAUCAACCUAUGUGGAGAUGAUGUGGCAGUAAAGAACCCUGCUUAUGACUGGGUGAACACUGAUCCUGAGCAGAAGCCUGGCCUCUGAUACCUACUCCACCAUGUACCUGUUCCAUCCCCUGUGGAGUGCUGCAGCAGCUCUUCUUGUCAAUGCCCAGCAAACUCCCACAACUCCUGAGCUCUUCCUGGGAACUUGGAAACUCGUCUCCAGUGAAAACUUUGAGGAAUACAUGAAAGAACUGGGUGAGA